AUGGAGACAAACUAUAAUGCCACAGCACAAAGGAGACCCACAAUUCAUACAAUUUCUAUCUUUGCUUUAUGUGUCCAGCAGCUACCUCUGCCUACCCACCCUCUUUCUCGUUCUUGUCUCUUAUCUCAACUCUUCAGCCCUCAGGGAUUCCAUGGAAACCACCAUGCUACUACAGGGUGAUCUCUCUUCAUCCUUGAAGCCCCCGAUCACUCUGCCAUUCACAAUAAUUAGUGAAAGCUGGAUGGGCAUGUGACUUAAAUCUGAACCACUCAGAGUCUUUACACAAGAAUCUAGAAUCAACUAAGAAAGUCCACCUUACUCUGCUCCUAUUUAAAUUGAAGAGCUGAUGUCUGAGACCAUAUUUCUGCCAUUUGGAUGCAGGAAAUAAGAUGGCAAGUCUACUGAAGGAGAGAAGAAUGAAGAGGAAAUGCAGAGAAAAGGAAAAAUUCUUGGCCUUCCCACCCUACCCCGCAUGAUACAGAUACACUUUUAGGCAUCUGCAAUGGAUACGCUUGCUCCAGCCAAAGGGUAUUGAAAAAAGCAUGAACAGCUAAUAUGAAUGUCAAAAGGAAGUAACUUCAUCAACUGAAGAAUCUGGCCUGCAUAUCACUGGGCAUCAGGGCAUCUUUAUUGAAGAAGGCACAAAACCCUGGAAGCAUAAAUCGCCACAAGCAUUUAAAACCUGAACAUGCGAUAAAUAAAUCAACCUUAAAGGCCAUGUGGCGGGGAGCUCUUUACUCACCACUGUGACGUUGAAAGCAUACAGAAGAUCAAAAGGCAGGGCAGCGAUUAAAUCAAUGAUGAACCAGGUUGUGACAUAGUGGAUGCAAAUUGAUCUUGCUUCAAAGAUAACUUGGCCAGACUUGCUGACAUAAGUUGUUCGGAAAUUUAAAAUAAUAUCUGCUUGGGAAAAAAAAGGUUGAGAAAUAAAAGGAAGAGACAGAGAAGAAUAAAGAAGGUAGGAAGGACAAUGAAAGAAAGAAGAAAGGAAGGGAGACAGGCAGGCAAACAAGCAGGAAGGAAGGGAGGAAGAAAAUCGUAGAAAAUUAAAUAAAAUUAGGCAAAUGGCAACCACUUAGCCUAGUUCAGAUUGAUAAUAUCCAAAAUAUUCUCCUCUACAGAUCCAGUUCAACUAAACAGAUACUGAAGAAGGGUGAAAGUAAUAUUUUCUGAGCACAUAAUGUUCCAGACAUGAAGCUACAUGUUAAGAUUAUUAAAAUAAAUAAUCGUAGCAAUAGCAACAAUAGUCAUCACUUACUAAGUGUUCACUAUGUACCCAAUAUUGUUCUAAGAGCUUGGCAUAGGAUAUUUCACUUAAUCCUCAGUACAUCUCCUGAAGUAGACAGUGUUACUCUGAUUAAAGAGUCAGAAAUCAAGUCCCAGGAAGAAAAAGUAAUUCAUCCAAGAUCAUAUUGCCAAGAGUGGCAGAGUCAAGUUUUAAUACAGAUACAAGCCGGGCAUGGUGGCUCAUGCCUGUAAUCCCAGCACUUUGGAAGGACGAAGCAAAAGAAUUGCCCGAGCUCAGAAGUUCAGGAUGAGUCUGGGCAACAAAACGAGAACUCAUCUCUAUUAAAAUUCAAAAAAAAUUAGCUGGGCAUACUGGCACAUGUCUGUAGUCCCAGUUACUCCAGAGACUGAGGUGGAAGAAUCACUUGAGCCCAGGAAGUUGAGGCUUCAGUGAGCCAUGAUUGCACCAUGCACUCCAGCCUGGGCAACAGAGUGAGACCCUGUUUCAAAAACAAAAACAAAAAACCCACUAAAUAUAAUCUGAAAUCUAUAUUCCUUAUUUUAUAUAAUAUUACUUAUUUCCAUGUAUAAAAGUUUUACUAAUCUCUGUGUCGAUAUGGAAUUCAGCCCUGCCCUGAAGGCACUCCUAUUAACAAAGUACUGGUAGUUUCUUGUGUGAAUUUCUGGGUUAAAUUCUAUUUUAAUGAAAGAUGUAAUUGUUUUCAAUCUUUCCCUGCAUCAUUAUUUAGUUAUAUAUUAUCGAGCGUUUUACAAUAUAUGAGGUCCUCCUGAGUGCUGAUCAAAUGACAUCCGUGUGAGUUUCCAACAGCCCUAUGAGCUUGAAAGAAGACCCUGAGCAGGAGAAAGGAACACAACUCAGCUGAUAUUUUGAUGUCAGCCUUUUGAAUUCCUGAUCGGAGGAUCCAACUAAGCCAUCCCUGGACUUUUGACAUAUAGCAACUGUAAGACAGUAAAUGGAUGUUGUUUUAAGUUGAUAAGUUUGCUAUGCAGCAAUAAAAACUGAAACAAUACUUAUUAUGUCAUUUGAUUCUCAGUAUAGCCUUGUGAAGUGAAAAGCACAGGAGCUAUGACAAGGAAGAUUAGUAUUAUUGUAGAUAACACACAGGUUCUUCGUAUGAGCCCAGUACAGUUCUAAGUCCUUUAUCAUCAUAAUCUCAUUGAUGCCUUACAACAAUG
rnacentral:lncRNA from 10 species